rnacentral:rRNA from 1 species
CGCGUAGGCAACCUGCCCCUGACAGAGGGAUAGCCAUUGGAAACGAUGAUUAAAACCUCAUAACGCCGAAGGAACACAUGUUUCAUCGGCCAAAGAUUUAUCGGUCAGGGAUGGGCCUGCGUCUGAUUAACUAGUUGGUGAGGUAACGGCCCACCAAGGUGACGAUCAGUAGCCGACCUGAGAGGGUGAUCGGCCACAUUGGAACUGAGACACGGUCCAAACUUCUACGGAAGGCAGCAGUAGGGAAUCUUGCACAAUGGGCGAAAGCCUGAUGCAGCAACGCCGCGUGAAGGAUGAAGGCCUUCGGGUUGUAAACUUCUGUUCUUAGGGAAGAAGAAAGUGACGGUACCUAAGGAGAAAGCCCCGGCUAACUACGUGCCA